ACUGUGUGUUGUGAAGGCAGGGGCUAACAUGGUCACCUUGAGAUUCUGCUUGGUUGCGCCCUUUUGUUUAAGGUCGACCUUCACGUUGAAGAAUUGUCCGUAUUUUAUCUGUUUUGGGGUGCCGGUGGUGACGAUCUUUGGCCUAAUGUUGGCUAGAGCCGGGUCGAGGUAAGGUGGGGAGAAUUUCUCAACACGAAGCUCCGUAGGGAACUCAACGUUGUACUUGUAACCGUCGUUGGUGUUGCUGCCACCGACAAGAACCUUACCGUCAGGGAGAAUGAUGGCGGUGGAGUGGUACAUACGUGGGAUGGUGGAGGGCUUGAGCUCUCUGAAACGCUUGCCACGUGGAGCAUGGGGCUUGUACAAGAGGGGAGCAAAGGCAGGGUCUUUACCAUAGCCCCAGCCUGAACAACCACGUUUAGCUCCGUUGACUAGAAGUAUGUCUCCGUUGGGGAGGAUGACAGUAUCACUCAUGAUUCGUGGGGUCGGCAUCAUCUCGGUCUUCCAUCGAGGCUUUGCGCUGUUGAUCCUUAUCCUGGCGCAGUCUUGUAGUGCUGGUUCGAAUACCCUUUUACCAGCCUUGUAAUACGCGUCUUGUUUGGAACCACCACAGACGAGGACCUCGGCAGGGAUGACCUUGGGGUUUUUCACGUAAAGCUGGAUGGGUAGGAGAGCAGAAGAACCUGAUCCCGGGUAGUUACGGGCACCACCUGGGAGCUGAGGGAACUCCUUGAUGACUUGGUUUGUUUUGGGGCUUAGAAGGAUGGAUCGGUUGUUAGCGAAAAUGAAGAGGUUACCGUCGGUGUUGAGCCACACGAAAGGGUAAAGGUUGUUUUCUUCCGGGUCGUCUGUUUGCCUGAGGAGCAAUGAGUCAUAGAGCUUCCUGUUGUUUUGCCCCUCCUCAGGAAUGUAUUCGUAGUUCAAGGCGUCUCUUCCACCAAUCACGAAGAACUUUCCGUCAGGGAGAGUGGCUUGCGUUGAGUACCAUCUCUUGGCAGCCAAUGCCUGAGGGUAUUCUUCCCACUUGCAGUUUUCACAGCUGGAUAGGUACCUUGCGGUGUUGGCUCCUCCUCCGUAUCCUCCAGUGCUCACCAAUGUACCAUUUACGGUCAGACCUCCGGAUGAGCACCAUGUAUCGGUGGAAAGCUAUCAUGAAACAUGUGAAUGCAAAUAUUUAAUUCAAGUUUCAUAUUAUAUGAUUCUAUCUAAUGAGAAGAUAAACCGUGUCUAGGACUAGGUCCAAAAAAAAAAAGAAAGAUGGUGUCAUGUGUUUGAACAUACGGCUAGAGGCUUAAGGGCGCCGGUGUUGACAUCCAUGAGAAUCGAAUGAGCCCAACAAUCGAUCCUGUUAGUCUUGGCGUUCACGACAUGGCAUGGUACGCCUGGAGGCAACUUAAUCUUUGAAAUUCUCCAAAUGGUGGCGUCAUAGUACUGGACCUUGUUGAUGACUGGCAUAAGAAUCGCAUGCAUCCCUGACACACCCGAGUUUUCCAAGAAGAGCUCCCACUUACCACCCCAGGUUGUCUGAGCGUCUAAACCGCCGCCUCGCUGCCUUCUUCCGCCUUUUCCACCAGCUACCGCACCGGCUGCAGGCUGUGGUUUCGCAACCUUCACAGCCUCAUUGUCCCUAAAGCCGUUGUUGAACCCAGGGAGGAACGGUAGAAACGGUAGAGGGAAGAUGGCCUCGGACACAGCAGCGAGCAUAAGGACAGAUACUGUCCAUAUGAC
rnacentral:lncRNA from 1 species